rnacentral:rRNA from 1 species
UACGGAGGGGGCUAGCGUUGUUCGGAAUUACUGGGCGUAAAGCGCGCGUAGGCGGACCUGCAAGUCGGGGGUGAAAGCCCGAGGCUCAACCUCGGAACUGCCUUCGAUACUGCGGGUCUCGAGUCCGGGAGAGGUGAGUGGAAUUCCAGUGUAGAGGUGAAAUUCGUAGAUAUUAGGAAGAACACCAGUGGCGAAGGCGGCUCACUGGCCCGGUACUGACGCUGAGGCGCGAAAGCGUGGGGAGCAAACA